rnacentral:lncRNA from 1 species
GGCGACAAGAAGGCCGCCGCCUGCCCCUCCUCCCGCUAGCACAGGGUCGGGACCGGCGAGCUCUGCCCGAGCGGGGCAGCUUGGCCUGCGCUUCCCGAGGUGCGCCUGCCCAGGCGCGGCUCAAUCGCGGCGGCUGCGCGGGUCCCGACACCGAGCAUGCCCAGAGCCACCAGCGCGCGGUCGGCUCCCGCGUCCUCAGCGGCCGGCUGGAGCCAGAGGCCUGGGGCAGUCGGAGGAGCCCGGGCUCGGGCGUUGGGGGCGCAGGCCUCCCGCUGGUGAGGGCGGCUCCCGAGGGUGCCCUGUGCCCACCCUCCAACACUCGCGCCUCCUGCGCGCGCUCCUGGCCUCCUUGCGGCGCUAGCCACCCAGCCCGAGCCUCCUGGCGCCGCCUAGUCCACGCGGAAGUCCCCGAGUGACCUGGGGGAGGCCCUCCCUCCCCACGCACGCAGAUUCACGAGCCCGCGCGGAGCACGAGUGACGCGUGCUCGCCGGCCCGGCACCGGCGUCCCCUCCAUCCUCCUCCCGCUUCCUGUCCCCGCGCCGCCCAGCUCCUGGCCUCGCAGCCACGUCCCCUCCUGAGCCCAGGCUGCGGUGAAACCUGUUGCUGUGGCUCACGUUUCUAUCCCCUCCCGCGGCCGCUGAAAUGGCUCAGCGAGGCGUGCCUGUGGGAAGCCAGGGGUAAGUGUUAGAAGGGUAAGUGGCUUGGUGGUGGGGGCCGCGGUGGGUUUGGGGGCAUCCAGAGACUCUCCUCCCACCUCCUGGCAAGAAGACCCGAAGGAAGGGCGAGGCUGUGUCCUGUGAGGUGCGCCUACAACAUUUGAUGGCUUUGCUUCCUUCAAUUUCUCUGGAACCCAAGAAACCUGUGCUGGAUUUUUCAGAUAUGCAAGGGUGGUCUCAGGUUGGCAGCUCUUUUUAGGAGGGAGCGUUCUUGGAGUGAAAGGUACCAGCAGUUGGAAAACUUAGCUGUUCACAGAAUGCCUUUUAAGGGCUAAGAAUUUCCUGUGAAGGAACCCGUCCGCCUGCAAGAACUGGAAACUAGGAAAUGCCCUCCUCCCUGUGGUGAUAAUGAAAAAGAGCACUUAGCCCUACCACAGAUUGGGAAAGUCAGCCCCUGGACUUCCAGAUUCAGGCUGUUACUAAUUAUUCCAGUGAAUUCUGUCCAGGCCUGGCAUAGUGCAGAUGGGGGACAGGGGAUGCCUGGGAUUCUUUUGCAGGGAGAGGCUGCCACCCUUACCAUUCUUCUGUGCCCUUCUGGGGACUGUAUAUAGCAGGACUGCUUCCACUUAGGUAGUCCUGAGCCCUGAGCCUGAAAAUUCAAGCUGAGCUUGUAGCUUGUCUAGAAGGAACAGUGGUAUGAAUAACAGGAAAAGGGGCUCUCUGGUCUGACCAGCUCUUCUGUAAAAAGCAGCUGAUUGUAACUUAAAAUAUACUUUAUGCCAACAUCUGUAAACAACCUGCCUUUAUAAUCCAAAUAUGGUUUGAUUUCAGGGUUGCUGCAGAGCCCCAGCUGCCUACUUGGGUGUGGAGGUGGCCCUGAGAAUGUUUAAAGAGCUAGGAACGAGAGAACUGCUCUUCCGUGCCCCUUAUGACCUCACAAGGCUUAGGUCAGGAAAAGUGUCUGCUCUGUGGCAGGACACAGGGAGACCAGUAAGCAUUGGUGGACUGGGGUGACAGGGAGAUUCCAUUUUUAUGCCUUAGGCCUCCCCAUCUCCCACCCACUCUCCCUCCUGGGCACCUGCUUACUCCCCUGCCAUCCAGAUGGUCCAUGUUGUGUUCAGGAAAUGCAAAAUAAGGCCUAAGAAAAACAUUUGGCAAGGUAAAUUCACUGCCAAAAAUGCAUGGUAUUUCAAAGCCAAAUAUAAAUGUCUUUGAAUUAUCUGUAUUUUCACAUUAUUAUUUGACCAGAUAUUCCAGAUCAGAUGGGAAAGUACCCAGCUUCCCUUUCCUCUUCUCUUCAUGCAAGGUGCUUGGCUAGACUACUUUCCAUUCUGUUUCCAGCUUUCCAUCUCCUGCCAAGAACCCACCCACUUGGGAACUGGAAGCCCUGCUAGCUCCUAGGCCCACUACAGUCUACAGCUCUGUCCAGCAGGAUGGAGAGAUGAUUUGCAAAGUGAUUGAAAGGAACAUUUUCUCAAGUUAAAAGUUGAACGUCAUAGGUGCCAGUCAAGUGGGAGUCACCCCAGAGCCCUCUAGUUCCUGAACCUUCCCCAUCCAUCACCAGGUACAGGGUCCCUCUUGAAUAUCCAUUAGCCCCUGCCCAUUCUCAUGCAGCCAGAGUGGCCUUUCUAACAAUGCAAAUCUGCUUUCUUCUCUCCCUUGCUCCAUUAAAACCCCACAGGGCUCCUUCAGGGAACUGAUGCCCACCACUGCCUCCAACUUCCUUUGGCAAAUUUUAACUCAGCUAAAAAGUCUCAAUGUAAAUGUCACUUCCUAUUGGGCAGCUCCUCUGAUUCCUGCCACCCCCUGGGUGAUUGCUGGUCCAGUCCACUAGACUCAGGCUAU